AUUGAACGCUGGCGGCAUGCCUUACACAUGCAAGUCGAACGGCAGCACGGGGGCAACCCUGGUGGCGAGUGGCGAACGGGUGAGUAAUACAUCGGAACGUGUCCUGUAGUGGGGGAUAGCCCGGCGAAAGCCGGAUUAAUACCGCAUACGCUCUACGGAGGAAAGGGGGGGAUCUUAGGACCUCCCGCUACAGGGGCGGCCGAUGGCAGAUUAGCUAGUUGGUGGGGUAAAGGCCUACCAAGGCGACGAUCUGUAGCUGGUCUGAGAGGACGACCAGCCACACUGGGACUGAGACACGGCCCAGACUCCUACGGGAGGCAGCAGUGGGGAAUUUUGGACAAUGGGCGAAAGCCUGAUCCAGCAAUGCCGCGUGUGUGAAGAAGGCCUUCGGGUUGUAAAGCACUUUUGUCCGGAAAGAAAAACGCCG
rnacentral:rRNA from 1 species